rnacentral:rRNA from 1 species
GCCAUGCAUGUCUAAGUAUAAGCACUUGUACUGUGAAACUGCGAAUGGCUCAUUAAAUCAGUUAUCGUUUAUUUGAUUGUACCUUACUACAUGGAUACCUGUGGUAAUUCUAGAGCUAAUACAUGCGAAAAGUCCCAACUUCUGGAAGGGAUGUAUUUAUUAGAUUAAAAACCAAUGCAAGUCUUCGGGCUCGUUUUCUUGGUGAUUCAUGAUAACUUUUCGAAUCGCAUGGCCUAGAGCCGGCGAUACUUCAUUCAAAUUUCUGCCCUAUCAACUGUCGAUGGUAAGGUAGUGGCUUACCAUGGUUAUAACGGGUGACGGAGAAUUAGGGUUCGAUUCCGGAGAGGGAGUCUGAGAAACGGCUACCACAUCUAAGGAAGGCAGCAGGCUCGAAAAUUACCCAAUCCCGACUCGGGGAGGUAGUGACAAGAAAUAACGAUACGGGGUCUUAAUAGGUCUCGCAAUUGGAAUGAGUACAAUUUAAAUCCUUUAACGAGGAUCAAUUGGAGGGCAAGUCUGGUGCCAGCAGCCGCGGUAAUUCCAGCUCCAAUAGCGUAUAUUAAAGUUGUUGCAGUUAAAAAGCUCGUAGUUGGAUUUCGGAGUGGGCCAGUUGGUCCGCCGCAAGGUGUGUUACUGACUGGUUUGCUCUUCUUCGCAAAGACUGCGUGUGCUCUUGAGUGAGUGUGCGUAGAAUUUACGACGUUUACUUUGAAAAAAUUAGAGUGUUCAAAGCAGGCUAUUGCUUGAAUACAUGAGCAUGGAAUAAUGGAAUAGGACUUUGGUCCCAUUUUGUUGGUUUCUAGGGCCGAAGUAAUGAUUAAGAGGGACAAUUGGGGGCAUCCGUAUUUCGUUGUCAGAGGUGAAAUUCUUGGAUUUACGAAAGACGAACAACUGCGAAAGCACUUGCCAAGAGUGUUUUCAUUAAUCAAGACGAAAGUUAGAGGAUCGAGACGAUCAGAUACCGUCCUAGUCUACCAUAACGAUGUCGACUAGGGAUCAGCGGGCGUAUCGUACGACCCGUG